rnacentral:rRNA from 1 species
CUUGUUUUUGCGAACAAAAAAUAAAUUUUUUUAUUCGAAUUUCUUAAUAUCAAAACUUUCAACAACGGAUCUCUUGGUUCUCGCAUCGAUGAAGAACGCAGCGAAUUGCGAUACGUAGUAUGACUUGCAGACGUGAAUCAUCGAAUCUUUGAACGCACAUUGCGCCUCGAGGCAUUCCUCGAGGCAUGCCUGUUUGAGCGUCGCAUCCCCUCUAACCCCCGGUUAGGCGUUGCUCCGAAAUAUCAACCGCGCUGUCAAACACGUUUACAGCACGACAUUUCGCCCUCAAAUCAGGUAGGACUACCCGCUGAACUUAAGCAUAUCAAUAAGCGGAGGAAAAAG